rnacentral:lncRNA from 1 species
GCAGGUGGAUUUCUGAAUUCGAGGCCAGCCUGGUCUACAAAGUGAGUUCCAGGAUAGCCAGGGUUAUACAGAGAAACCCUGUCUCAAAAAAACACACACACACAAAAAAAAGCCCAACCCCAAGAAUGCUUGGAGAGAAAAGGGGGAGGGAAAGGGAGAUAGGGAGAAAGGGUCAGAGAGUCAGAGAGAGAAAGGAGGUAGAGAGAGCCAGGAGGGGCCAAACAGUCCCUUUCAUAGCAAACCAGGCCUACCUGGCUUGGGCGGAGCCUAACAGGAAUGCCAAAAGAGUGAGUCAGCCCUCAGGCCUUAGGAUAAUCUUUCUAAUAGAAAACACUGAUCUCUUCAUUCACAUGGUUUAAGGAGAAAAAAAAAAAAAAAAAACUCUCAGUGACAAAAGUUGACCUUGAUAAAGUCCACGAUGCAUAAUGCAUGCAUUUUGGAAUCUGGGCCAUGGAACCCUGCUAACUGUCUGUACCUUUCCCCCAAUUCACUCACCCUGUCCGCAUGCUGCUGCUCCUCCCUGGGGUAGCACACCUACGUGCAUGUCCCUUGCUCAUCAGAACUGACCUUAAGUGAAUCUUCCAGGGCCUCCCUCACAUUGGAUGUAGAACAUUCUAGACUGUCAAACUUCAUGUGCUCUAAUACCUGACUGCCUGUUGCAUCCUAUCAACCUGAUGGAAAAUUUAGGGAUUAGUUGAACUGCACCCAGGGCUCUUUUUUCAUUUUCUUGUUUGUAUUUCUAGCUUUGUACUUGACUCCUCACAGCACACCGUGGCUUUGAGUUUGUCACCUACCAGACUGUGAAUGACACAAGACUGAGCCCUUGUCUCACAUAUCACUGAAUUCCCAGUAAGUUCUGAACAGGUGAAAUGAGUGCUAAAUUCUCAGGUGAGGGAAUUUACGGAUCUCCACGGCAGAUCUUAUAUCUCAUCAUAAUGAUAUCACUAAACUUGUUAGCAAAAGCUUACAUGUAUAUGUAUUUUUCCAGGUAGUGGGUUUUUCCACAAUCAUCGUUUUUUUUUCUUCUCAAGACAGGGCCUCAUUAUGUAGUCCUAGAUGAUACAGCACCUGCUAUGCUAACCAGGCUGGCUUGGACUCACAGAGACCUCUCUGUCUCCUGAGAAAUAAGAAUAAAUGUGUGGUCCACCACUCCUGGCUACCAUCAGGUUUUUAAAGGAAUCUCUGACCAUACCAAAGACACAGCUCUAUGCUCUAAAUGUUAUUUGGGUUAGGUAUGUAGCUUGGUAGAAUGUUUGCCUAGCAGGCAAAGGCCCUAGAUUGAAUCCUGAACACAAGAAGAAGCAGACAAAGUGAUACAUAUCUGUAUCCUAGAACUUGGGAGGUGGAGGCAGGAGAACCAGAAGCCC